UGGGGAAUAUUGGACAAUGGGGGCAACCCUGAUCCAGCCAUGCCGCGUGAGUGAUGAAGGCCUUCGGGUUGUAAAGCUCUUUUGGCGGGGACGAUGAUGACGGUACCCGCAGAAUAAGCCCCGGCUAACUUCGUGCCAGCAGCCGCGGUAAGACGAAGGGGGCUAGCGUUGUUCGGAAUUACUGGGCGUAAAGCGAGUGUAGGCGGUUGCCGUAGUCAGGUGUGAAAGCCUUGAGCUCAACUCAAGAAAUGCACUUGAUACUGGGUGACUAGAGGACCGGAGAGGAUAGUGGAAUUCCCAGUGUAGUGGUGAAAUACGUAGAGAUUGGGAAGAACACCAGUGGCGAAGGCGGCUAUCUGGACGGUUACUGACGCUAAGACUCGAAAGCGUGGGGAGCAAACAGGAUUAGAUACCCUGGUAGUCCACGCCGUAAACGAUGGGUGCUAGACGUUGGCGAGCUUGCUCGUCAGUGUCGCAGCUAACGCGUUAAGCACCCCGCCUGGGGAGUACGGCCGCAAGGUUGAAAACUUUAAAGGAAUUGACGGGGGUCAUAGCUGUUUCCCU
rnacentral:rRNA from 1 species